UGACUAAUUGAAAAGGGCGUUUGGUGGAUGCCUUGGUAUUAGGAGGCGACGAAGGACGUUAUAGCCUGCGAUAUGCUUCGGGGAGCUGGCAAAUGAGCUUUGAUCCGAAGAUCUCCGAAUGGGGAAACCCUUCUUGGUAAUCCCAAGAAAUCUUUACCUGAAUAUAUAGGGUAUAAGAAGCGAACGGCAUGAACUGAAACAUCUAAGUAGUGCCAGGAAAAGAAAAUGAAUAUGAUUCCCGUAGUAGUGGUGAGCGAAAUGGGAAGAGCCUAAACCUAUGCUGUGUAAGCUUGUAUGCGUUGCAGUGUGGGGGUAGUGGGAGUAUAUGUUCAAGUGAUACAAACCUUGACUUAUAAUUACAUACGUCAGUAGAACAGCUCUGGAAAGGGCGGCCAUAGAAAGUGACAGCCUUGUAGACGAAGACCUAUGUAAUGUAAGAUAUAUAUCCCGAGUAUCAUGGAGCACGUGAAAUUCCGUGAGAAUCAGUCCCGACCAUGGGAUAAGGCUAAAUACUACCUAAUGACCGAUAGUGAACAAGUACCGUGAGGGAAAGGUGAAAAGAACCCCGGGAGGGGAGUGAAAUAGAAACUGAAACCAAACGUCUAUAAGCGGUGGAAGAGAUGUAUACGUACGCUCAACCACGUGCCUUUUGCAUAAUGAGUCAACGAGUUAUUCCUAUAUUGCAAGGUUAAGUUUUGAAAGAACGGAGCCGUAGCGAAAGCGAGUCUGAAUAGGGCGUUUAGUAAUAUGGGAUAGACCCGAAACCAAGUGAGCUUUCCAUGUCCAGGAUGAAGUUUUAGUAAAAUAAAAUGGAGGUCCGAACCGGUGUAGGCUGAAAACUGCUCGGAUGAGGUGUGGAAAGGGGUGAAAGGCUAAUCAAACUUGGAAAUAGCUGGUUCUCCCCGAAAUAUAUUUAGGUAUAGCCUUGCACGAUUAACUAUGGGGGUAAAGCACAGUUUAAAUUUUGGGGUCUCACGAUUACCAUAUUUUUACUAACUCUGAAUACCGUAGUUUUAGAAUGCAGGAGUCAGACUGCGGGAGAUAAGUUCCGUGGUCGAGAGGGAAACAGCCCAGAUCGUUAAAUAAGGUCCCAAAGUGUUCGUUAAGUGUGAAAAGAGGUGGAGACGCACUGACAGCCAGGAGGUUGGCUUAGAAGCAGCCAUCCUUUAAAGAAAGCGUAAUAGCUCACUGGUCAAGUAUUUCUGCGCUGAAAAUAAACGGGGCUUAAACGAACCACCGAAUUUGCGACUUGCACAUUUAUGUGCAGGGGUAGGGGAGCGUUCAUUGAUAGAUACAAGCUUGACUGGAAAGACAGGUGACGUGAUCAAUGAAGUGAGAAUGUUGACAUAAGUAACGAAAAAAUAGGUGAGAUUCCUAUUCGCCGAAAAUCUGAGGUUUCCGUGAGAUCGGAUUAUCCACUCAGGGUUAGUCGGCCCCUAAGUCGAGGCCAAUUGGAGUAGACGAUGGAAAACAGGUUAAAUAUUCCUGUACCGCUCGUAAGCGUUUGAGUGAUGUGGUGACGCAGGAAGGUAAGCUGAGUUGAUGUAUGGAUGUCAAUUUAAGCACAAAGAUAGGUUUUGUUGGCAAAUCCGCAAAAUCGAUGAUUUGAAGUGUUAUGAGCAUUCUGAUCCCUAGUGGAGAUGUGUGUUCAGCUGAUCCUACGCUGACUAGAAAACCCGCUAGCGAGCUAUACGAGCGACCGUACCGUAAACUGACACAGGUAGAUGGGUAGAAUAUACUCAGGCGUUGAGAUAACUAUCAUUAAGGAACUCGGCAAAAUAGCCCCGUAACUUCGGGAGAAGGGGUGCCUAGGGCGUGAAAGCGCUUCUAGGUUUCAAUAAAAUGGACCAACCGACUGUUUAGCAAAAACACAGGGCUCUGCAAACUCGUAAGAGGAAGUAUAGAGUCUGACGCCUGCCCAGUGCUGGAAGGUUAACAGGAUGGGUUAUUCUUCGGAAGAAGCUCAAAAUCGAAGCCCCAGUAAACGGCGGCCGUAACUAUAACGGUCCUAAGGUAGCGAAGUACCUUGUCGGGUAAGUUCCGACGCGCAUGAAUGGCGUAACGAGUUGGACGCUGUCUUGAUGAUAGACUCAGUGAAAUUGUAGUUCCGGUGAAAAUGCCGGAUACCCGCGACUGGACGGAAAGACCCCGUGCACCUUUACUAUAACUUGACAUUGAUCUUUGGAUAGGUUCGUGUAGGAUAGGCGGGAGACUGUGAUACUAUGGCGCCAGCUGUAGUGGAGUCAUCCUUGAAAUACCGCCCUUAUUCGUUCGAAGAUCUAACUCCAAAUUUCCGUAAUCCGGAUGGAGGACAUUGUCUGGCGGGUAGUUUGACUGGGGUGGUCGCCUCCCAAAUUGUAACGGAGGCAUUCAAAGGUUCCCUCAUGACGAAUAGAAAUCGUCUCUAGAGCGCAAAAGCAUAAGGGAGCUUGACUGCGAGACAUACAGGUCGAGCAGGUGCGAAAGCAGGAUUUAGUGAUCCAGUGGUUCUGAAUGGAAGGGCCAUUGCUAAAUGGAUAAAAGGUACGCCGGGGAUAACAGGCUAAUCUCUUCUGAGAGUUCAUAUCGACGAGGAGGUUUGGCACCUCGAUGUCGGCUCAUCGCAUCCUGGGGCUGAAGAAGGUCCCAAGGGUUUGGCUGUUCGCCAAUUAAAGCGGUACGUGAGCUGGGUUCAGAACGUCGUAAGACAGUUCGGUCCUUAUCUGUCGUGGGCGUAGGGUAUUUGAGAGAGGCUGUUCCUAGUACGAGAGGACCGGAAUGGGCAAACCUCUGGUGUUCCAGUUGUCCCCCAAGGGCAACGCUGGGUAGCUAGGUUUGUAAGAGAUAACCGCUGAAAGCAUCUAAGUGGGAAACUCGUCUCAAGAUAAGAUACCCCGUAAUGAUCGUAAGAUUAUUACAUUAAGAUUCCUUGUAGACUACAAGGUUGAUAGGCUGGAUGUGUAAGCACAGUAAUGUGUUCAGCUAACCAGUACUAAUAAAUCGAAUGUUUUAGCCAAU
rnacentral:rRNA from 1 species